rnacentral:rRNA from 1 species
UGAGGAAUUUUGCACAAUGGAGGUAACUCUGAUGCAGCGACGCCGUGUGUAGGAUGAAGGGGCUCUGCCCUGUAAACUACUGUCGGAUAGGAAUAAAAGUUGGGUUGCCCAACUGGGAAUGUACUAUCAAAGGAAGGAUCGGCUAACUACGUGCCAGCAGCCGCGGUAAUACGUAGGAUCCGAGCGUUGUCCGGAUUUACUGGGUAUAAAGGGUGCGUAGGCGGGUUUGUGCUUCAGAGGUUAAAGACCGCAGCUCAACUGCGGGAGUGCCUCUGAUAAGGCAAAUCUUGGAUAUGAGAGGGGUAGGUAGAAUUCCUGGUGUAGCGGUGAAAUGCGUAGAUAUCAGGAGGAAUACCAGUGGCGAAGGCGGCCUACUGGCUCAUAAUCGACGCUGAGGCAC